rnacentral:rRNA from 1 species
AUUGAACGCUGGCGGCAUGCCUUACACAUGCAAGUCGAACGGUAACGCGGGGCAACCUGGCGACGAGUGGCGAACGGGUGAGUAAUGCAUCGGAACGUGCCCAGUUGUGGGGGAUAACUGCUCGAAAGAGCAGCUAAUACCGCAUACGACCUGAGGGUGAAAGCGGGGGAUCGCAAGACCUCGCGCAAUUGGAGCGGCCGAUGUCGGAUGAGCUAGUUGGUGGGGUAAAAGCACACCAAGGCGACGAUCUGUAGCUGGUCUGAGAGGAAGACCAGCCACACGGGGAAUGAGACACGGCCCAGACUCCGACGGGAAGCAGCAGUGGGGAAUUUUGGACAAUGGACGCAAGUCUGAUCCAGCCAUGGCGAGUGCGGGAAGAAGGCCUUCGGGUUGUAAACCGUUUUCGGAAGGGAAGAAACGAGUUUCUCUAAUACAGAGACUUAAUGACGGUACCUGAAGAAUAAGCACCGGCUAACUACGUGCCAGCAGCCGCCGUAACAC